AUUCUAGAGCUAAUACAUGCAAACAGAGCUCCGACCGGAGACGGAAGGAGCGCUUUUAUUAGAUCAAAACCAAUCGGUGGCGAUUCACGUCGUCAUCGUACAACUUGGUGACUCUGAAUAACUUUACGCUGAUCGCACGGUCUUGCACCGGCGACGCAUCUUUCAAAUGUCUGCCUUAUCAACUGUCGAUGGUAGGUUCUGCGCCUACCAUGGUUGUAACGGGUAACGGGGAAUCAGGGUUCGAUUCCGGAGAGGGAGCCUGAGAAACGGCUACCACAUCCAAGGAAGGCAGCAGGCGCGCAAAUUACCCACUCCCGGCACGGGGAGGUAGUGACGAAAAAUAACGAUACGGGACUCAUCCGAGGCCCCGUAAUCGGAAUGAGUACACUCUAAACCCUUUAACGAGGAUCAAUUGGAGGGCAAGUCUGGUGCCAGCAGCCGCGGUAAUUCCAGCUCCAAUAGCGUAUAUUAAAGUUGUUGCGGUUAAAAAGCUCGUAGUCGAAUCUGUGUCCCGCGCCGCCGGUUCAUCGUUCGCGGGUGUUAACUGGCGUGUCGCGGGACGUCCUGCCGGUGGGCUUAGCUCGUGAGGGCGGCCCAACUCAAUCCCGCCGCGGUGCUCUUCAUUGAGUGUCGAGGUGGGCCGGCACGUUUACUUUGAACAAAUUUAGAGUGCUWAAAAGCNAGGCUAAAACUUCGCCUGAAUACUGUGUGCCCUCUUGUUAUCGUAAUUGGACCUCGGUUUUAU
rnacentral:rRNA from 1 species